AUAAAGUAAUCUUUGAGAGUUUAUUUCAGGACGCUAUUUUGAUGAAAUUUCACAAGACACAGGGAAGUUUUGUUUCGGUGUUGAAGAUACACUUAAAGCACUUGAGAUGGGAUCUGUGGAAAUCUUGAUCUGCUGGGAAAAUCUAGACAUUAACCGCUUUGUUCUAAAAAACCAUAAUGUAGAUGAGGAGAAAAUACUACACCUUACACCUGAACAGGAGAAA